rnacentral:lncRNA from 1 species
CGCGCCGCUGCCGCUGCGUGGGGGUGAGGGGAUCAGUCUGGUGGAAAGGACAGAGGACUAAGUCCAUGGACUGGAAAUUGGAAGGGAGUACUCAGAAAGUAGAGUCACCUGUGCUGCAGGGGCAAGAAGGCAUCCUAGAGGAGACAGGUGAAGAUGGACUUCCUGAAGGCUUCCAGCUUCUGCAGAUCGAUGCGGAAGGCGAGUGCCAGGAGGGAGAGAUCCUGGCCACAGGCAGUACGGCAUGGUGCUCGGCAUUUGCCCCCAGCACAGCAAACGUUUCCUGAGAGCUCUAACCAAAGACAAACUUUUGGAAGCCAAACACUCAGGACCAAGACUAUGUAUCGAUUUGAGUAUGACCCACUACAUGUCAAAGAAGGUAGAACAUCCACUAAGCCUGGAAUUCCUGCUCGCCAUGAGGGAGGCCCAGAAGGGUACAGCUUUCCGAAGAAUAUGGUCAACUCCAGCUUCUGGGAUUCCUUAGUAAACUAGAAUUAAGUAGACUGGCUGGACAGAUUCGAAGGUUGUAUGGUUCAAACAAAAAAGCUGACAGGCCAUUUUGGAUCUGCCUCACUGGAU